UAUUACUGGAGAAGACAUUACUGCAGAGAAGUCACAAGUGGUGCACGUGCAUAGUGGGCAAUUGAGUUACAUGACCACAAAGACUGUAUUGUACAAGGGCGUACGUUGAAGUCAAGCUUUUUUUUAUAUAGUGUGGGCGGUGCUGUUUUGUUGCCUUCAAAAUAAAAUAACCAAACAUCAACUGCAAAGCGUCUGAGAGUGAAU